rnacentral:rRNA from 1 species
UGGGGUAUAUUGCACAAUGGGGGAAACCCUGAUGCAGCGACGCCGCGUGAACGAAGAAGGUAUUCGUAUCGUAAAGUUCUGUCCUAUGGGAAGAUAAUGACAGUACCAUAGAAGAAAGCUCCGGCUAAAUACGUGCCAGCAGCCGCGGUAAUACGUAUGGCGCGAGCGUUGUCCGGAAUUAUUGGGCGUAAAGGGUACGCAGGCGGUUUAAUAAGUCGAAUGUUAAAGAUCGGGGCUCAACCCCGCAAAGCAUUGGAAACUGAUAAACUUAGUAGUGGAGAGGAAAGUGGAAUUCCUCGGGUAGUGGUGAACAACGUAGAUAUUAGGAGGAAUACCAGUAGCGAAGGCGACUUUCUGGACACAAACUGACGCUGAGGUACGAAAGCGUGGGGAGCAAACAGG